UUUACUUUGCUCUAAUAAAAAAAAUUGUAAUUUGUUUACUAUGGGAUGGAGGUUAUGCGUUUCCAGCAUGAAAUUUUGAACAAUAUUAGAAAUAAUAAUUCAGUAAAUAAUUAAAUACAUAACAAAAAAGGUGCCAGCAGUUGCGGUCAUACCUUGAUGUAAAACAAUUUCUUUUAGGGAGGAUUAUUCCAAACAAAAAUUUAAAAUAGCGGUAAAAUGAUUUUUGUUUUUGGUUUCUUUAUUGGAAAAUUUUUUCCUAAAUUCUAAAAAAUAAACUAGGAUUAGAUACCCUACUAUAAGUAGAACAAAAAACUCUUUCCUAAGCACUACGAUCAUUAAGAUUAAAACUUAAAGAGCAUGGCGGUAAGUUUUAACUUUAGGGGAACUUACCAGAUAAUAGAUAACACACAAGUUACUCAACUUAUACUAAUAGUUUAUAUAUUGCCGUUGCAAGGUUACAUUUAAAAUAUAACCAUCAAAACAAAUUUUAAUAAAACAGGUCAUGGUGUAGCUAAUGUAUAAGUCUUAAGGCGAGUUACAAUAUUAUUUCCAGAUAAGAUAUUAAAAUUAUUUUAAAUAGAUGGACUUAAAAGUAAUUUUAAAAAUUAAAAAUUGAAUUAAAAAAAACUUGUGCACAAAUCGCCCGUCACUCUCGUUAGAAAAGGAGAUAAGUCGUAACAUAGUAGAGGUAGUGGAAACUGU
rnacentral:rRNA from 1 species